UACAACUAGCAGCAGCAGAAUACGUGCAUUUUAUGUGCUGUCGUUGGUGUUGUUGUUGUGAUGGUGCUUGUUUUGGUGAUUUUUGUAACAAAUGCUGCUUUCACAUGCUAAGCACCAAAAACAUUCAGUUACCUGUAAACUAAUGUGGUACAUGUUGUAAUGUUUCGUAAUAUUUGAAUAUGUCGGUUCUGUACAGUCCUGAAUGUAUUUUGAAAUAUAAAUAUUGAAAUUUCAAACAGAAUGGAAACAUGGAAAGUCAUAACUCUGUAUAAAUCCACGAAGGAGUACCACUUCACAAUCUACAGACCUGUUUCUUUACUUCCAAAAUUCUUCAGUAAUUGAUUGGACAUAUUCAUUGACAAACACAAGCUCCUGUCAUGCAGUCAGUAUGGAUUUAGGGCCCGUAGAUCAACAUCACUGGUUUUACUAGACCUAAUUGAAGAAAUUACUUAACUCUAUAGAUG